rnacentral:rRNA from 1 species
UCGGGAAUAUUGCGGCAAUGGAGGAAACUCUGACGCAGUGACGCCGCGUAUAGGAAGAAGGUUUUCGGUAUGUAAAGCUCUAUCAGCAGGGAAGAAAAAAUGACGGUACCUGACUAAGAAGCCCCGGCUAACUACGUGCCAGCAGCCGCGGUAAUACGUAGGGGGCAAGCGUUAUCCGGAUUUACUGGGUGUAAAGGGAGCGUAGACGGUAAUGCAAGUCUGAAGUGAAAUGCGGGGGCUCAACCCCUGAACUGCUUUGGAAACUGUAUAACUGGAGUGCAGGAGAGGUAAGUGGAAUUCCUAGUGUAGCGGUGAAAUGCGUAGAUAUUAGGAGGAACACCAGUGGCGAAGGCGGCUUACUGGACUGUAACUGACGUUGAGGCUCGAAAGCGUGGGGAGCAAACAGGAUUAGAUACCCUGGUAGUCCCUG